CACCUUAUGGCAGAAUAUUGCAGUAAAUUUAGAAUUUUCUAACACCCUA
rnacentral:tRNA from 3 species